rnacentral:rRNA from 1 species
UCGAAACCUGAAACGGACGACCGCGAACACGUUGUAACUGCCGUGCCGUGGGGAAGGCGCGCGGAGACUGAACCCUCCUCGUCGUCCUCCCCCCGGCGCGCCCCGUCGUCCGUGCGGGCGCGAAAGCUCUCGCUCGGGCUCGGGCGAACACUCAACCCCGGCGCGGAAAGCGCCAAGGAAAACUCAAAACGAUUGCCCUCCCCCCGACUGUCCCGUGCGCGGAGCGCAGGAGGGGGCGCAGCGGCAUCCGUCGUAACCAAAACGACUCUCGGCAACGGAUAUCUCGGCUCUCGCAUCGAUGAAGAACGUAGCGAAAUGCGAUACUUGGUGUGAAUUGCAGAAUCCCGCGAACCAUCGAGUCUUUGAACGCAAGUUGCGCCCGAAGCCAUUAGGCCGAGGGCACGUCUGCCUGGGCGUCACGCAUCGCGUCGCUACCCCCCUCGUGCGGGGCGGCGGAUGUUGGCCUCCCGUGCCCGAAGGGUGCGGCCGGCCUAAAUGCGAGUCCUUCGGCGAGGGCGUCACGACUAGUGGUGGUUGAAUUCCUCAACUCGAGUCCUUGUCGUGCCGUGCUCCCCCGUCGUUCCACGGACUAAGUUGACCCCUCGUGCGCGCGCCUUGAAAGCGAGCCUCGACC